rnacentral:lncRNA from 1 species
AUGUUUAGUGUAGAUCUUUGUCGAUUAAAAAAAUGUCCUCCACAGCCAGCUAAACUGACCUCCUCCAAGGCCCCCGCCAACGUCAGUUUCCCCCUGUCCUGCUGUGGGGGUCCCGGCGGUCCGGGAGCCCACCCUCGUCUCUCGGCCCUGUCCGCCAAAGUCUUCUGUGCUGUCCUGCACCCGCCACCACUACCAGCCCUGGCAGGCCCUGGGCCCGGCAGCCGACCCGCAUGCCAGAGUCCCCCAGCCCAGAGUCCCCCAGCCCAGGGUCCAGACCAGGAUUCAGCCCAGGGUCCAGACCAGGAUUCAGCCCAGGGUCCAGACCAGGAUUCAGCCCAGGGUCCACCAGCCCAGGGUCCACCAGCCCAGGGUCCAGCCCAGAGUCCACCAGCCCAUGGUCCCCCAGUCCAGGAUUCCGCCCAGGGUCCCCCAGCCCAGGGUCCCCCAGUCCAGGGUCCAGCCCAGAGUCCACCAGCCCAGGGUCCAGCCCAGGGUCCCCCAGCCCAGGGUCCCCCAGUCCAGGGUCCAGUCCAGGGUCCACCAGCCCAGGGUCCCAGCACCAGGUCUCUGGUUCAGCUGCACAGUGAGCUACAAAGCCUCCGGGGGGACCUGGAUCACAUGAAGAGCCAGCAUAACAAGGAGAUAAAACUGUUGAUGAAUGAACUAGACGAAGAGAAGAGGGUUCGCUUGACAUUACAGAUGGAGGUACAGCGCAUGAAGAAACAAAUGUCAAAAUUACUGGAUCGUAAAUAA